GUGGGGAAUAUUGGACAAUGGGCGAAAGCCUGAUCCAGCCAUGCCGCGUGUGUGAAGAAGGUCUUCGGAUUGUAAAGCACUUUAAGUUGGGAGGAAGGGCAGUAAGUUAAUACCUUGCUGUUUUGACGUUACCGACAGAAUAAGCACCGGCUAACUUCGUGCCAGCAGCCGCGGUAAUACGAAGGGUGAAAGCGUUAAUCGGAAUUACUGGGCGUAAAGCGCGCGUAGGUGGUUUUGUAAGUUGGAGGUGAAAUCCCCGGGCUCAACCUGGGAACUGCCUCCAAAACUGCAUGACUAGAGUACGGUAGAGGGUAGUGGAAUUUCCUGUGUAGCGGUGAAAUGCGUAGAUAUAGGAAGGAACACCAGUGGCGAAGGCGACUACCUGGACUGAUACUGACACUGAGGUGCGAAAGCGUGGGGAGCAAACAGGAUUAGAAACCCGAGUAGUCC
rnacentral:rRNA from 1 species